rnacentral:misc_RNA from 1 species
GUGGCAUACUCGGCAAUGCGCGUGCGUAGUGGGCCGCUACCCGGCAGCUCCAUGCAUGCGGUACGAAGACUGCUGACUGUUGCGUCGCCUGUUUUGAAGGGAAUUUUUACAGUUAGAGCAUCGCCAUUCGUCAUGAGUGUUGCGCCAGGAACAGAAGAAUCAGAUGGCUUUGUGGUCAGGGCCAGGGGUCUCCCGUGGUCAUGCACCCACCAUGAAGUCAUGAAAUUCUUUGAUGGGUGUAACAUUUUAGGUGGUAAGGAUGGAAUCCACUUCACGUUCAACAAGAACGGCAGGCCUAGCGGAGAAUGCUUUGUUGAGUUUGAAACAGAAGAGGACUUUGAACAGGCCAUGACAAAACACAAAAAAGAAAUUGGAUCACGAUACAUUGAAGUGUUCCGAUCUAAGGUCGAGGAGAGGGAAUGGGUGAUGAAGCGAAGUGGUGCAGCCUCCUUUCAGGAUAAUGAUGCCUGUAUUCGUAUGAGAGGCAUCCCCUAUGAGUGCUCUAAGGAAGAAGUCAUGCAGUUCUUUAAUGGGUUGGAGAUUGUGGCGAAUGGGAUAACACUGCCUACAGACCAGGAGGGGAAGUGUACCGGGGAUGCCUUUGUGCAAUUUGCAUCAAAGGAGCUGGCAGAGAAGGCUUUGCAAAAACAUAUGCAUAAACUGGGGCACAGAUAUGUGGAAAUCUUCCAUAGUAGUAUGGAUGAAAUUCGUCGAGUUGUGAAUGCCAACAAGUUUGCUCGUGCCUUCCAGAGACCUGGUCCCUAUGAUCGCUAUGGAGGUGGGGCUAUGUUUGGUGGCAGAGGUAGGGGGCCAUCCAGUUCAGGUUUUGAACGACGCUACAGAUUUGAUGGUUUUGGGGGUGGAUAUGAGGAUAACUUCUACGGCGUGGACAACUAUGGAUUUGGUGGUGGCAGCGGUGGUAGCAGUUUUGGAAUAGGCGGGAUGAUGAAUCGACGGGGGAGGGGAAUGAGAGGCAUGGGAAUGAGAGGUGGCUUUGGCAGAGGAGGUGGUGGUGGUGGUGGUGGUGGUGGUGGAUUUGGCUACGGUGGUAGCGGAGGAGGGUUAGGUGGACCAGGAGGUGAUAGCAUGGGACCAGUCUUCCAGAGUCAAACAGGUCAUUCUAUUCAUAUGAGAGGAUUACCCUUCAGUGCUACAGAGGAGCAUAUUAUGGAGUGGUUUGGCAAGUCAGCUGUUCCCUGCCGAGUUGUUAUCAAAUAUAACAGCAAAGGUCAACCGUCGGGGGAGGCAGAUGUUGACUUCAUCCGUCACAGAGAUGCUGUAGCAGCUAUGGGGAAGGACAAGGAACAUAUGAUGCACCGUUACAUUGAGCUCUUCUUGAACUCGGAAGAAGAUGGGGAAGAUGGAGAUGGUGGCUAUGGUGAUAUGCCAAGGAUGCAGUCUGGAAUGGGAGGAAGUGGAGGUGGCAGUUACGGAGGUGGAAGUUCACAGGUCGGAAGUCAAGGUGGUGGAUUUGGUAACCAAGGUAAUGGCUUUGGUAACCAGUCAAGUGGUAUGAGAUCUGGAAGUGGAUAUACAAGCUUUGAGAGCCAGGGAGGGACAGGAUUCCAGGCAUUCCGAGGUGACAACAAAAAGCAGAAAAUCAAAACUGCCAUGCAGGAGAGAUUAUAGCUGGCGGCCCAAACCGGAAAAGUCAGGCAAGCAAUGCAACAAAUUUGAUUUGCUUUUCUGGGAACCAGGGAGGUGGGAGCUCCAGUUCUUUCUACUCUGGGGGUUCUGGAGGGU